AGGGAUUGCCCUAGUAACGGCGAGUGAAGCGGCAACAGCUCAAAUUUGAAAUCUGGCGCAAGCCCGAGUUGUAAUUUGUAGAGGAUGCUUCUAGGUAGCGACCGGUCUAAGUUCCUUGGAACAGGACGUCAUAGAGGGUGAGAAUCCCGUAUGUGACCGGCCCGCACCUUCUACGUAGCUCCUUCGACGAGUCGAGUUGUUUGGGAAUGCAGCUCUAAAUGGGAGGUAAAUUUCUUCUAAAGCUAAAUACCGGCCAGAGACCGAUAGCGCACAAGUAGAGUGAUCGAAAGAUGAAAAGCACUUUGGAAAGAGAGUUAAAAAGCACGUGAAAUUGUUGAAAGGGAAGCGCUCACAACCAGACUUCUGGGCGGUGUUCCGCCGGUCUUCUGACCGGUCUACUCACCGUCCCGAGGCCAACAUCAUCUGGGACCGCCGGAUAAGACCUUAGGAAUGUAGCUCCCCUCGGGGAGUGUUAUAGCCUGUGGUGAUGCGGCGCGUCUCGGGUGAGGUCCGCGCUUCGGCAAGGAUGUUGGCGUAAUGGUUGUCAGCGGCCCGUCUUGAAACACGGACCAAGGAGUCUAACAUCUAUGCGAGUGUUCGGGUGUCAAACCCCUACGCGUAAUGAAAGUGAACGGAGGUGGGAAGGGUAACCUGCACCAUCGACCGAUCCUGAUGUCCUCGGAUGGAUUUGAGUAAGAGCAUAGCUGUUGGGACCCGAAAGAUGGUGAACUAUGCCUGAAUAGGGUGAAGCCAGAGGAAACUCUGGUGGAGGCUCGCAGCGGUUCUGACGUGCAAAUCGAUCGUCAAAUUUGGGU
rnacentral:rRNA from 1 species